rnacentral:misc_RNA from 1 species
UCCGAGUUGACCCCGGCAGUCUCCUAUGAGUCCCCGCCAUCACGCGCUGGCAACAUAGAACGAGGGUUGCGCUCGUUGCGGGACUUAACCCAACAUCUCACGACACGAGCUGACGACAACCAUGCACCACCUGUGAACCGACCGCAAGCGGGGCACCUGUUUCCAGGUAUUUCCGGUCCAUGUCAAGCCUAGGUAAGGUUCCUCGCGUAGUGUCGAAUUAAACCACAUGUUCCACCGCUUGUGCGGACCCCCGUCAAUUCCUUUGAGUUUUAGCCUUGCGGCCGUACUCCCCAGGCGGGGUGCUUAAUGCGUUAGCUUCGGCACGGACGGGGUCGAUGUCCGCCCACACCUAGCACCCAACGUUUACGGCUAGGACUAC